GCCCACCAGAAUCUGAGCAGUAUGAGUGGAAGAGGUCCAGCUUUCUCCAAGAGUACGAUGGUUGUGAGUGGCCUAGUGGUCCUCAUAGGACUGACUGUCUUUCCAACUGUCAUUCUUCCCAGGGUAAACCCAGGAUAUUACAGAGAAAAACAAAAAGUUAUACGAGACAAGAUGUCCCUGGAGCAGACACAGCCUGGAGGGAUGAAGGUAUGGAGCGACCCCUUUGAAAGAAAGGAGGACAAUGGCAAGAAGUCUUAACAUUAUUCUAGCUUUAAUAUCACUUUCAAUUUAUGUUUCAAACACAAUGUUAAUCUUAUACUACGUGUACAUCUUUGUAUUAAAGUGCAUACAAUUACAAAAGACACCGAUGGGA